rnacentral:siRNA from 1 species
UCACCCACUAUUGUGAAGCCUA